UACGUAGGGUCCGAGCGUUGUCCGGAAUUACUGGGCGUAAAGAGCUCGUAGGUGGUUUGUCGCGUUGUUCGUGAAAACUCACAGCUCAACUGUGGGCGUGCGGGCGAUACGGGCAGACUGGAGUACUGCAGGGGAGACUGGAAUUCCUGGUGUAGCGGUGGAAUGCGCAGAUAUCAGGAGGAACACCAGUGGCGAAGGCGGCUCACUGGCCCGUAACUGACGCUGAGGCACGAAAGCGUGGGGAGCAAACAGG
rnacentral:rRNA from 1 species